AUUGAACGCUAGCGGGAUGCUUUACACAUGCAAGUCGAACGAGUGGCGGACGGGUGAGUAAUAUAUCGGAACGUGCCCAGUAGCGUGAGAUAACUACUCUAAAAAGUGGCUAAUACCGCCAACUAUUUGAGCGGGCGAUAGGGGAUUAGAUAGUUGGUGGGGUAAAGGCUCAACAAGGCAACGAUCCGUAGCUGGUUUGCGAGGACGACCAGCCACACUGGGACUGAGACACGGCCCAGACUCCUAUGCGAGGCAGCAGUGGGGAAUUUUGGACAAUGGGGGAAACCCUGAUCCAGCCAUCCCGCGUGUAUGAGAAGGCCUUCGGGUUGUAAAGUACUUUUGGCAGAGAAGCGGUAUCUGCAGAAUAAGCACCGGCUAACUACGUGCCAGCAGCCGCGGUAAUAC
rnacentral:rRNA from 1 species